UCGGUUCGGCUCCGAUAGCGGGCU
rnacentral:tRNA from 1 species